rnacentral:rRNA from 1 species
UCAGACACGUCAGAGUUUGAUCCUGGCUCAGGAUGAACGCUAGCUAUAGGCUUAACACAUGCAAGUCGAGGGGAAACGGCAUGAGAUGCUUGCAUCUUAUGGACGUCGACCGGCGUACGGGUGAGUAACGCGUAUCCAACCUGCCCCGGUCUGCGGGAUAACCCGUCGAAAGACGGACUAAUACCGCAUGGGGUUCCCUGAGGGCAUCUGACGGGAACUAAAGAUUGAUCGGACCGGGAUGGGGAUGCGUCUGAUUAGCUCGUUGGCGGGGUAACGGCCCACCAAGGCUACGAUCAGUAGGGGUUCUGAGAGGAAGGUCCCCCACAUAGGAACUGAGACACGGUCCUA